rnacentral:rRNA from 1 species
CCCUUAGAUGUUCUGGGCCGCACACGCGCUACACUGAAGGAGGCAGCGUGUACUCCUGGAUCGAAAGAUUUGGGUAACCCGCGAAUCUCCUUCGUGCUAGGGAUUGAGGUUUGCAAUUAUCCUUCAUGAACGAGGAUUUCCCAGUAAGUGCAAGUCAUAAGCUUGCGCUGACUACGUCCCUGCCCUUUGUACACACCGCCCGUCGCUACUACCGAUUGAAUGAUUUAGUGAGGACUUCGGACUGGGACCGAUGCGGCUUUCGGGCUGCGUCGGUAUUCUGGAAAGAUGUCCAAACUGUAUCAUUUAGAGGAAGUAAAAGUCGUAACA